GUUGCAUUUAAAUAUGCAGUUAACAGAUCAUCUUAAUCGUCUUCCCCAGACCUAGCUUCAAAAGCAUUCACCCAGUUCUCACAUGUGUGAGUGAAAAUCACUUAGAUUUUGACUUGGCUAUUAAAUGGCCUCAAGCAAAAGCAAGUCAACCAAAUUAGAAAGAAGGCAAAGUGCUAUGGGCUUUGGAGCGAGAUGACUGUGAAGUUCAAUCUGGAUUCCUCCAUUUACUACAUGUCACUAGUGCUAGAUGCUACUUAGCCUCUUUGGGCCUCAGUUUUCUCAUCUGUAAAAUGGAAAUAAUGAGUCCAACUUAACAGGUUUGUUACAGCAAUUAAAUAACCGAUGUAUUGUGCACAGUGCCAGGCAUGUAGUGAGCCCUCACCAUGUGAAUGGCAGCACCAGCAUCCACAUCAGCUCAUCAUCUUCAUCAGUGGCAUUACCUGAAACACUCUGUCCUCAUCCGUGACAUACAUUAGAGGAAAACAGCCUUGUUUUCUUUAGGUUUUGUAUUCUCCCAAGGCUGAAACUUGUAUUUGUAAUGCUACAACUUUGAUAAUUUUUUCCCUUAAGAGUUCCUUCAGCAGCAUUUUUUUCCUACCAACUUGCAUGUGUAGAGUUAUUCAGUAGAUGACACCGAAGAGUUUCAUAGUGAAUGUUUGUUGAGUGAAUGUAUGAAAUGUGGUUUUGAUAGCCAGGAGUGAUGUGGCACAGGUGGUUGUGUGGGGUUAGGGAUGGCUAGCCCAUCAACCCAAUCAUAUGGAAAUUCCUUUUCAUUAUACUGCAAAGCAGCCAGCUAGAAAUGGAAAAUCUAGUUAACUAGUUCUUUUAUGGAAAACAUCCAAGUUGGUAGAAGUUUUUUUCACUGAAUGUCUCCUAACACCUCCCUGAUGGCCUGGCUAGAUUGACUCAUUAUUUCCAACCGACCAGCUUGACCUGACAGAGCUUCUGUGACAGAACCCCUGCCCAAAGCUCCUUCUAUCCCCAAAGCGCUCUGCUGGCUGCUCUGGAGAGCGCAGGUUUGACAAUCUCCAGUCUCCCCUCCAUUGAGUCUUAACUGUUUCUAACAAUCAUUUCACGGCUGAACCCCAAUUUGCAUCAUGGGUAUAGACAAGGGGUAGAAUACUAGUAUUAAACAGUUGAAUACGUGGCAAAUGGGAGUAGAAUUAAGACAAACAAACAACAGUAAAGAGAUCAAGAAGCCUGCUAGUGUGAAAGGCAGUUUGGGCUGCUAAGUCAUAUCUUCCCAAGGGGUAAUAUACAAGCAACUGGAAACAAGAGGUGUCUUCUUAACAAUAGAGUCAGACAUACAUACACCCUUCAAUCUUUUAGUAAUACUUUGGGUUAAAAAAUGUUUAAAUAUUAGGCCUAUAUUUUCCUUUAUUACCAGAGCCUCUUCUUCCAGAUUCUAUCAGAAAGCUAAUACUAACAAUAAUGUCGUAUAGGUUCUAAGAUUGUGGGAAACCUCACUUCAAAGCCCCUUCAUUAGAAGCUCAGACUUCCAUACUAGCACCUAGUUUCAGGCCCAUGUUGGGACUAAUUACUGCCACUGGGUUUGUCGUGAGCCAUCGCACCUGGCGAACCUACCUAUAUCUUUCUUUGAAUGUGCUCAGACCAAGGGUCUUAUCUUAAAGGAAUAUCAGACCAGAGCACCAGACCUAUGGCUGAGAAACACCUUUUUUACCCCAGCACACAUUUUCCCAUCCAUCCAUUCAUCCAUCUCCAACAAAUAACCUUACACAGCUUCCCCACUCUGAAAGGUAGAUACCAUAUCUGUCUACUUUAUCUCCAAAUCAUAGUCCAUAGCCAGCAGAGCGUAACCACCAAAGGAAUAUUUGUUCAAUAAAUAAGUGAACAGUUAUAAAAUGCCCACUAUAUUGGCAUAGUCAUACAUAUAUGAUGAAGCACAGUCCCUGCCUUCUUGAUACUCACAGUUGUUUUUCAGGAUAGCUUUGUACCCCAUCAGAAAAAAAUAGAUUUCAAGGCCGCUAAUGUUCCUUUUAUAUUCCAUUGGCUGGCCGUGUCAAUAUUGACUGUGUAAUGCACUGACAGAUGCGCAGUUCCCUUCAGAGAGAAAUGAGAAAAAAAAAAAAAACAGCUUCACAUCAGGCAAAUUUUGAUUAUUUCUUUCUAAAGUGCACAGCACCUCCAGUCACUAAUGGUUGUAAGAGACUUCGGGGACACUAAUCUUAAUGCGCCAUUUCCUAUAGGUCUUGUUAGUUCCUAAAACCAUCUGUAAGAAGUUAUUGUAUUUGGCUUUCUUCAGCCAUAUUUUUUAAGCACGACAUUUAAUUAGUGCUUGUUAAGAUGUUUCAAGUGCUUUGGCCACUUCUCUCACCCCUGCUGUUUCUUCAUGGUCAGCAUAUUUUCUGGAAAUGUUGUUUUCGGGAAAGGGCAUCAGAUGCGUCUGUGUCUGGAGAAUUGCUCUGUGUAUCCAUGUGAAGCAAGUCUCUGAGAGCAACUGGAGGGACUGUCAGGCUGGCUGUGGGGCCUCCGUGUUCACAGCAGCUACUUUGAAAGGCCUCCAGUUUUGACGUUCUCAUGGAAAAAGCAGAGACCUCAAAAUGGGUUUGGAACCGACAACAAUAGGAGGGUACACUGGAGCCCUGGAGAAGAAUGUCACAUAAGUGAAAUGUAUUUGAAAUAUUUAAUCUAGGAACCUUUGGAUUAACUUCAUUAAAAAGAGUUUGCUUGAAAGGGCAUAAUUUUUGCUCGAAGAGACCUUAUGAAAACUGCAAAAUGGUUGAUGGUACUGAAAUAUCCACCCAUGCUCACUAAAGGAAUAAAUAGGUUGAAUAUAAUUCCAUUAUUUUU
rnacentral:lncRNA from 1 species